UUUAUUCCACAUGCUUUGGAAUCAGGAUCAGGCUUGGCUUCCUAGAAGCAAAUCUGAGACAAAGAUUCGGAUACAAGGGUAUCUUUCAAAGCUGAUCUUAGUUACCCACUGGUAAGCAAUGUGGGUACAUGAUACAGAGAAGGAAAGGUCAGCACACUAUGCCAUCACAGACAGGCGUGGAGCUCAUUGCCAUGGAAACCUCAGAACUGGCCACCAAGAAGCAAGGCCCCUACGAUCUUUAUCCCCCAGUUCCCUUUUGUCACUGGUGGAUGGCUGCCCCCAAAAUUAUCUCUGCACCACAUCUGGCCUUCCAAGAGAAAGCCACCAGGCAAAGACUCAGAGGUGUUUGUAGCUGGACACCUGGGCACAAGCCAGAACAGUGACUGCCAACCAGACUCUGCUUCUGCUCCACUGACCCACUGGCUCUGUAAAGGUGCAUCUCCCUGUUAUUAAUAAGGCAGUUCACCUCAGGAAAAGGAGGCCCGCUUCCCACUGAAUCCAAGAGAGAAUGAGAAAGCGCACCCAGAAGGGAAAUGGCAUUCCACCUAAUCGAGUCUCAGAAGUGAAGUCCAUCCCCUCGGCUAAAGCCACGUGUCAGAAGCAAGGCCGUAGGUCCAGCCCACACAAGGGCGUGAUCACCAUGGUCCCAGAGACCGGGGACCCUCUUGGAGGCUGCCUCCCCCAGAAGCACAAUCAUGCAUUACCUAACACCAGCAGAGGGGUCUUGGACAACACUUUUUAAUUUUAAAAACUUGAUGUUUCUGCAUCAAAACAUUUGAGCACUCAUGCUAAAUGGUAUAAAUAAUGACCACGAAUAGCCUCAUAUCAAUAUAGGGCGGAUUUUGCUUCCAAAUGAAUGAUGAACAUUUUUUUAUUUUCAGAACUUUUGAGGUCCAGAAUUAUGGAAAAGAAAUUGGAGAUCUAUCUAUCCCCUGCUUUACAGAUAAUGAAACUAAGGCACAG
ensembl:lncRNA